UUUUUCAUACCCUAAAAAUCAAAAUUUUAUGUGCUCAUUACACCAAAAUAAA
rnacentral:tRNA from 1 species